GUGAUGACAAGAGAUGUGCCUUUUACAGUAGACUUUCCUUUCCUCAAGAUAGUACCACCUCUGUGGAGGCCGAUAGACAACAUUUAUUCAGGAAAAUAAGUAUGGAUAUUGCAGGAGGCUUCAAAGAUAUCACGAGAAAGCUGUAUAAGCGAUGCAAAGACAGGAACUUUGCUAAAGGUUUUGGCUAAAGCUGUGUACUCGGUGUCUCUAACCGGGUCCUGUAUAAAGCAGAUACUAGAUAAACACUAAGAUCGAU